rnacentral:rRNA from 1 species
UACAGAGGGUGCGAGCGUUGUCCGGAAUCACUGGGCGUAAAGGGCGCGUAGGCGGCGCGGUAAGCGUGCGGUGAAAGCCCGGGGCUCAACCCCGGGUCGGCCGUGCGGACUGCCGGGCUGGAGCACUGUAGAGGCAGGUGGAAUUCCGGGGUGUAGCGGUGGAAUGCGUAGAGAUCCGGAAGAACAUCAGUGGCGAAAGCGGCUUCCUGGACCAGUACCGACGUUCAGGCACGAAAGCGUGGGGAGCAAAC